CUCAUCCUCGAUAUCUUCCACUGUGUUGUUCCCAUUACCAGACAAGGCAUGGCGAAAUGCAAGCACAGAGUUGUCGUCCAUCAGAGAUUGCUUCUGAAGAGGGAACGUGAAUUAGUCAAAGUUUUCCAAAGUAAGCUUCCUGUGUAACAAACUCAGGCAAAUAUGAAAUCAAUGAUUUUCCAAUGAGGGAAAUGUAUUGAUAGAUUUAAGCCUAGACAUGAGCUUGAUGCCUCGAUUUCCUGUUACCCAUAAGUAAUCAUCAGUCCUGUUUCAGAGAUUGGUCUCCAACUACAUACUCAGACUGUAUUUAUAUGUAGUCUCUUAUCAGAUACAUCUGCACAGAGCAUCACUACUUAGCUGUUAGGUCGCUUGCCCUAUGACUUUUCCAGACCAAUCUGAAAGUGCUAUGAAUUUCGAAAAGGAGUUUGACCAGGAACUGUGGAUGUAUGGUACUGAAUGUGCUUGGAUGACACAUUCAUUACAGAGAAACUGAUGCAACCAAGCAAAUAUUCAUAUCUGGCACUAGCCAAAUGUGUAUUGCCACCACAGCCCCGAAAAGACAUGCUUAAACAUGUUAUAUUAGCAAUGGGGAUGUUAACGACAUCUUACCAGCCUCUCCUCACUAUCCUCAUAGAUCUACCAUUCCAUAUAUCUCAGAGAAAACCAAGACUGACAAAAACCAGAUUCAGGGAAGGAACACAUACAUAUACAUAAACAUAGAAUUAUUUGUUUGUUCUAAUUAUUUGUUUUACGCUUUGUUUCACUUGGACAUCCAUAUAGCUUUGGUUUAUUUCCAAAGAUGUCCUCAGAACGGUGUAGAAGAGUAAAUAUGUGACUUGUGACAGAAGCGAAACAAUAGCAAGGAACACUCAGAAUGAUCCAGAAUCGCAAACCACAUGAUGUUGUCGAGAUCUUAUAAGGCAUGGAGGGAUGUAUAUUUGACAAAGGUCAAGAAGUAUGAAAGGAGAAGUGUUGAAAAACAGAGUAUGAAGUAGAGCAACAGAGAGGGAAUAACAAAAACAGCCCGUAAGAAGCAAAGUAAAUUCACACACCUUGAUAUCUUGUCUAUGCAAGUCUUCGAUGAAGAAUGAUGAUCGUUGUUGACAAGAAGUUUUUACAAUUUAUAGGUUUGGAUCUGUAUUUCGUUAAACAAAAACUCAGUAUUUUCC